GACGAACGCUGGCGGCGUGCCUAAUACAUGCAAGUCGAACGAGAGCAACCGGUGCUUGCUCUGGUCAAUCUAGUGGCGAACGGGUGAGUAACACGUGGGUAACCUGCCCAUCAGAGGGGGAUAACAUCCGGAAACGGAUGCUAAAACCGCAUAGGUCUUCGAACCGCAUGGUUUGAAGAGGAAAAGAGGCGCAAGCUUCUGCUGAUGGAUGGACCCGCGGUGCAUUAGCUAGUUGGUGAGGUAACGGCUCACCAAGGCCGUGAUGCAUAGCCGACCUGAGAGGGUGAUCGGCCACAUUGGGACUGAGACACGGCCCAAACUCCUACGGGAGGCAGCAGUAGGGAAUCUUCCGCAAUGGACGCAAGUCUGACGGAGCAACGCCGCGUGAGUGAAGAAGGUUUUCGGAUCGUAAAACUCUGUUGUUAGAGAAGAACAAGUGCUAGAGUAACUGUUAGCGCCUUGACGGUAUCUAACCAGAAAGCCACGGCUAACUACGUG
rnacentral:rRNA from 1 species